rnacentral:rRNA from 1 species
UCUUACGGGAGCAGCAGUGGGGAAUAUUGCGCAAUGGGGGAAAGCCUGAUCCACCCAUGCGGCGUGAGUGAUGAAGGUCUUAGGAUUGUAAAAUUCUUUCACCGGGGACGAUAAUGACGGUACCCCAAGAAGAAGCCCCGUCUAAUUUCGUCCCAGCAGCCGCGGUAAUACGAAGGGGGCAAGCGUUCUUCGGAAUUACUGGGCGUAAAGGGAGCGUAGGCGGACUUUUAAGUCAGGGGUAAAAUCCCGGGGCUCACCCUCGGAAUUGCCUUUAAUACUGGGUGUCUGGAGUCUGGGAGAGGUGAGUGUAACUCCGAGUGUAGAGGUGAAAUUCGUAGAUAUUCGGAAGAACACCAGUGGAGAAGGCGACACACUGGCUCAAUACUGACGCUGAGGCAAAAAAGCGUGGGGAGCCAACAGGAUUAGACCCCCUGGUACUCCCCGCCAUAAACGAUAAAUACCAGUGGUCGCGCUGCAUACACUUCGGUGCCGCAGCUAACGCAUAAGC